ACGCUGGCGGCAUGCCUAACACAUGCAAGUCGAACGGAAACGAUGGAAGCUUGCUUCCAGGCGUCGAGUGGCGGACGGGUGAGUAAUACUUAGGAAUCUGCCCAAUAGUGGGGGACAACUCGGGGAAACUCGAGCUAAUACCGCAUACGCCCUACGGGGGAAAGCGGAGGACCUUUCGGGGCUUCGCGCUAAUGGAUGAGCCUAAGCCGGAUUAGCUAGUUGGUAGGGUAAAAGCCUACCAAGGCGACGAUCCGUAGCUGGUUUGAGAGGACGAUCAGCCACACUGGGACUGAGACACGGCCCAGACUCCUACGGGAGGCAGCAGUGGGGAAUAUUGGACAAUGGGGGCAACCCUGAUCCAGCAAUGCCGCGUGUGUGAAGAAGGCCUGCGGGUUGUAAAGCACUUUCAGUGGGGAAGAAAUAUUUAGGGUUAAUACCCCUGAAUCUUGACGUUACCUACAGAAGAAGCUCCGGCUAA
rnacentral:rRNA from 1 species